CCGACCCAGGGAUUGAACUCGUGACUCCUGCAUGGCAGGUGGAUUCUUUACCACUGAGCCUCCUGGGAAGCCCUGAUAAACUCUGAGUUUUGGCAAAACUGUGGACAACCACCACUUGCCCUCAUCUGUACUCCUCCUGUCAAAAUUUCUAGCAGGUUGAGGCGCCUGGUCCGCGAGAUGCUGAAUGGCAAAUUCUGUCAAACUAGAUACUACCAAGGCGAUCCCCAGGGCAAGGGGAUCUUCCCAACCUAGGAAUUGAACCCGGGUCUCCUGCAUUGCAAGCAGGCUCUUUGCCAGCUGAACUACAAGGGAAACCAAAUAUUAAGGGUGCUAACAGUUCGGUGUCUCUGAUUUCCCACUGCUUGGAGAUUGCUCCGUUACACGCAACUGUCCAGGAAGUGCCUUUGCAAGAGUGUCUUCGAUGAAAGAAUGGAACCUAUGAGAGGUGUGGAGAAGAACUCACUUUCAUCAAAGGAUCGGCUUUCAGGAUGGUCUGGGAGCCCAGAGCAUUAUUGUAUUACACACCACACUGAAACGCGCCUUGUUCUGAUUUUUCUCCCUCCCCCUCCUCCUCUCUUUUCUUUGAGUGUUUUCGAAAUAAAAGAGUUUUUUCUUCCAAAUUGCGCUGGGAGGCAAAUUCUUGAACGGUGUAAUAGAAAAUGUUAGACAAUAUUCCUUACCGGAGCUAUUGACAUUUUGGAUAGUUGUGACACUUUGAUUUUUCUCAAAACAUAUGGAUCAAGCCUGGCUGCCUUAUUGGACAGGAAGUCCGGAUGAAAGGGCUUCCUUUAUCUUUCUUUGUAUUUUCCCCCCUCUGUUUGUUCGUGCCUUUCUCUCUGAAUAGAAUCGUGGUUUUCUUAAGCUGUCCGGGGAGUCGUUAUUGCCUUACUAAAUAUUUCAUGGUGCACAGCACACCAUACCUGCCAACUGCUUCUUAUUUGUUGUCAAAAAUAAAGGGUUCAUCCUUCAGAGGGGGAGGGAAAAAAUAAAAAAAAGAUAGCAGGUUUCUCCUAUUGUUUUCAUUUUAAAGUUUCUCGUAGGCACCCCAUGCACAGGAACACUGGAAACCUGAGAAGGAUGCUUUUAUUUUCCCAGGGACGCACGGCUGGCCACUUAUUUAUUUAUUUGCGGCUUAUUUAUUUAGUUGCCGCACACUCUUUGCUAUGAUUCCCAGCACUUGUUUCUUGGCGGUUUCCCUUCCGAUUUGUUCAAAAGGGAAAAGUUCAAAGCGGCUCUGUCAGCUGAGGGAGAAGCCUGCUGAAUACUAACCCUCCAGCGCCCGCCUGCGCUGACCUUGAGAGAGGGGCCCUAAACGGUUCCAU
ensembl:lncRNA